rnacentral:rRNA from 1 species
UACGUAGGGUGCGAGCGUUAAUCGGAAUUACUGGGCGUAAAGCGUGCGCAGGCGGUUUUGUAAGGCAGAUGUGAAAUCCCCGGGCUUAACCUGGGAAUGGCAUUUGGGACUGCAAGGCUCGAGUGCGGCAGAGGAGACUGGAAUUCCUGGUGUAGCAGUGAAAUGCGUAGAUAUGCGGAGGAACACCGAUGGCGAAGGCAAUCCCCUGGACCUGUACUGACGCUCAUGCACGAAAGCGUGGGGAGCAAACAGG